rnacentral:rRNA from 1 species
UACGGCUCAGUAACACGUGGCUAAUCUGCCCUUGAGACGAGAACAACCCCGGGAAACUGGGGCUAAUUCUCGAUAGGCGAAGAACACUGGAAUGUGUCUUCACCUAAAUGGUGUAACGUUAUCCUCGUUACACUGCUCAAGGAUGAGGCCGCGACCGAUCAGGUUGUUGGCGAGGUAAUGGCUCACCAAGCCUUUUACCGGUGCGGGCCGUGGGAGCGGGAGCCCGGAGAUGGGUACUGAGACAAGGACCCAGGCCCUACGGGGCGCAGCAGUCGCGAAAACUUUGCAAUAAGCGAAAGCUUGACAGGGCUAUCCCGAGUGCCAUCCGCUGAGGAAGGCUUUUACCCAGUCUAGAACGCUGGGGGAAUAAGGAGAGGGCAAGUCUGGUGUCAGCCGCCGCGGUAAUACCAGCUCUUCGAGUGGUGUGGAUGUUUAUUGGGCCUAAAGCAUCCGUAGCUGGCUAAGUUAGUCCCUUGUUAAAUCCACCGAAUUAAUCGUUGGAUUGCGGGGGAUACUGCUUGGCUAGGGGACGAGAGAGGCAGACGGUAUUUUCGGGGUAGGGGUGAAAUCCUAUAAUCCCGGGAAGACCACCAGUGGCGAAGGCUGUCUGCUAGAACGCGCCCGACGGUGAGGGAUGAAAGCUGGGGGAGCGAACCGGAUUAGAUACCCGGGUAGUCCCAGCUGUAAACGAUGCAGGCUAGGUGUUUGGACGGCCACGUGCCGUUCUAGUGCCGCAGGGAAGCUGUUAAGCCUGCCGCCUGGGGAGUACGAUCGCAAGAUUGAAACUUAAAGGAAUUGGCGGGGGAGCACA